CUCAGGAUUUCACUCUUGAUGCAUUUUGUCCAGUGUGGAUAGGGAACAGGCUAAUCCUGGAUACCUGGAAGGCACUUUUAGCAACCUGUUGCCCAAGCCCUGUAGGCUGGAUAAUCUAUUUUGAAGGUUUUGAAGGGUUGUCACAGCCACUGCUGUUUUUCCUGUGUGCUACUGUGCUGCUAUCUGUGCCUUGAUUUUGUACAUGGAUUCAUACUAGACCUGGGUGGAUGGGCCAUGGAAAUGUUGGUGCCAACUGCUGGGGUUUGCUAAUGUUUUUGCAGGUUUUUUUCAUGAGGUUUUUUGCAUGAUCUGAACUCAGCCCUCUUACUUUUUUCCCCUUUUUACUAGUGUUACUACCAGACAAACAGGGUACUGUUGGUGCCCCGCUCCUCUUCACUGAAUGUGGUGGUAUGAACACUGUCAACUUGGUCUCUAUUGUGUGGUUUUGUUGUGUUUAGGUGACGGUGCAAUUUUGUGUGUGUAGUGGUGUCCGGGCAUCCUGGUAGCACUUCGGUAACCCCCUAUAUGUCUGGCUCAUACAGAUUCUUAAGUGUUUUACAACUGACAGAUUUUAUCUUUUCCUCUAGCGUCUGUUGGCAUUAACAUUUUGUUCUUGUUUUAAGGACUGUUUGUGCUUUUAUCAUGUUAUAAUGAACAAAUUGCCCUAAACCUGAUUUUUUUUCUUAUGACUUAUGAUCAAUAAAUUGCCCAUCCAGAGUCAAAAUCCACAUAUUAUUUUGUUACCACUAUGUGUGGGGAACCCAUGUCAACCUUUAGUUUUCCUGGGGAUUCUAACCCCAGGUGGCGUUGUUCAAACUUGAGGCCCACUAGCUUCAUUACUUUGCCUCUGUUACAUAUGAUUAAUCUUUGGGUUGGAAUCAUUGUUAGAAAUAGAGUCAUGUCGGGGGUUGUGGUCAGGGUAAAGUCAGGAUUAAGAUUACAUGAUCUGUAGUUGGCUACAACAUGUGACCAAUUCACCCCCUUUUUUUUUAGCCUCCUUAGACUGUGUGGUAUGUUUUAGAAUUGUUUAUUGAUUACCUUAUCUUUUUGGCCUCACUCCUUGCCAUAUUUCUGUUCUUUUAAUCCCAUACAACCCAUGAGUAGCUAAAGUUGUGAAACACCUGCCAGAGAAAAUAAGAUUGGCUGAGUCAGAAUCAUGUAAUUCUCCUCUUACAACGUAACUUAAAUCAGAGUUUACUAGACUUAUCUUACUUGAUUAUACUUGAACUGUCUCUUUAUUUCUUUUAUCUUCCUUAACUGGAAUUGUUUGUACUGGCAUUUGAUUUACUCAUUUAAUUCUGGUCCAGUUAAUGUCUUUUGUUUGUUGAUUAAACCUGUACUUAGUAACCUGUGUUUUGAAAAAAAGAUUAUAUCAUCAUUUACCUGUACAGUUUAGCAGACUGCAAGUGGAGUGUUGCCAUUCCUCUAAUAGCUACUAGAAAACAGAUCGACUGUACCACAAGUGUGAUUGAAUAAAUUAAGUAUGCAGUUGUUACGUAGAUGAGUUAAAGUCAAGAUCCAUGACUUCAAAUCUGACAGCAAGUGUUGUUCCAAUGUUGGCCUGUUGAUGUCCCACCUUCCCCAGUUUUACUGUUUGAACAUCAGCUGUGCUGUGACUUACCUGUUAAUCAUGUUUAACUGAAUAACUAAUUGUCAAAAUGAUCAAAUUUCUCUGAAACUCAGUCAAAGUCAUAUUGUGUGAAACUUGGUGAUGGGGAAAAAAGCACCUUUUUAAAUCUGACCAGUCAAACGGCAACGUGAUUGUCAUUUUUACCACUAGUAAGACUAGAGUCUACUAGUAUGCAAGUGUCAUGGCCCCACUGUUCUUUCAAACAUCAAUAGCUCCCUGGUAGCUGGCCAUGUUCCGUCAUCUAUCAAACAUGCAGUUGUCCAGCCACUAUUAAAAA